CAGCCGCCGCGGUAAUACCGGCGGCCCGAGUGGCGGUCACUAUUAUUGGGCUUAAAGCGUCCGUAGCCGGGUUGGGAAAGCCUCCGGGAAAUCUGGCCGCUUAACGGUCAGAAUGCCGGAGGAUACUCCCAGCCUAGGGAGCGGGAGAGGCCGAGGGGAUUCCCGGAGGAGGGGUGAAAUCCUAUAAUCCCGGGAGGACCACCUGUGGCGAAGGCGCUCGGCUGGAACGCGUCCGACGGUGAGGGACGAAGGCCAGGGGAGCAAACCGGAUUAGAUACCCGGGUAGUCCUGGCUGUAAACGAUGCGGACUUUGUGUCGGACAAGCUAUGAGCUUGUCCGGUGCCGGAGGGAAACCGUUAAGUCCGCCGCCUGGGGAGUACGGCCGCAAGGCUGAAACUUAAAGGAAUUGGCGGG
rnacentral:rRNA from 1 species